ensembl:lncRNA
ACCCCUCAGGUCAGGAGGAGAGUUUAGGGACGGGACUGUUUACAAUGGGUAGGCGGGAAGAGAAAUCCAUGCGCCAAGGCCCAGCAGCAGGAAGCGGUGACGGUGAUGCUCUGGCGGAGGAGCACAGAGGUUAAGGCUGGAAAGGGCGCCUGGCAGAGGUUGUGGUUUGAGGGUGAAGAAUACAGACGCUGCAGACCCGAAGCCUAGCGAGGGGAGGAGCUGGGGUAUUAAGUGCCCCAAGACCAGUCUCUUCCACCCUCCAGUCGUGGCAAGAUUCUCAACUGGCCAGACCCAGGAGAAAACCUGAGGACACGAUUGUGGCUCAUGCGCUCCGCCAAGGUACAUGGGAUCAUGGGAUGAGAGGCAGCCAGAGCCAGAGAUAGCCAGAAGAAAGGUCUCAAGAAUCCCAACGCAGUGACCAGGUCCGCAGCAUGGAGACCGAGACUCUCCCUGGUUUGACCAUUCCAAGAGAUCUGUACCGGCAAGCCACAAAGGCCACUGGAAGCUAGAAAGCCUGAACUGGUGAGGUGAAGGAUCAGUGCCACCAGGCUGAGGGAUCUGCACUGGAGCCAGGAAGUGAUUCUCCAGGUAAAGACCAGAGCUCUCCUGCUGAGAACAGUAGCCAUUCCCAGCGCCAGCGAGACCCCAAGCACCUCCUUCUAUGAGAGCAGCCAAGUUUGCAUCAGGAAAACCAGCCACGGUAAGCUCCCCACCCUGCCCCGUGCCCCAAAAAUCAACAGCACACGAUCUUCCCCUCCAGUUCUUUUUCUGCCAUUGGCAACAAUCCUCAGGUGGGUCUUGCACACCCAGAACCACCCUGAUUCAGUUCAGCUGAGCAUUCCAACUUGACCGUUAGUUAAUCCACCACAACUAUCAUGAACAGAAAUGAAUUCCUGAUUUCUUUCUUGAUGGAUUCAUUAUUGGUGUAUAGAAACACUAUUUGUAUGUUGAUUUUGUAUCCUGGCAUUUUGCUGAAUUUGUUUAUCAGGUCUAAAACUCCUCUACUAGAGUUUUUUUGGGGGGUCUUCUAUGUAAAUAAUUAUAUCAUCUGCAAAGAGGAAUUGUUUAACUUGCUUUCCUAUUCGUACCCCUUUUAUUGCUUUCUCUUAAACCUGCUUGCUCUCACUGAAGUUUCCAGUACACAAACACUGAGGAGGACUGUCGAGAGUGGACACUGUAGGAACCAGCCUAUGAGCUUGAACCUGACCAAGGGGUGACGAGGAUGAAAAAUAAGGAGACGCAGGGCUGGGGAUUUAGCUCAGUGGUUUCGCCGCCUGAUGUGCAAGCAAAAGGAUCUGGGUUCAAUCCCUGGCACCAAAAAAAAAAGGAGACACAGAAACAGGUUAAAAUUUGGAGUGCCAGGAGGCUCAUGUCUCCCCUCCACAUAGAGCCCCAAGUGCCUGGUGCAUGUUGGCUUUAUUCGCUCAACUCAGUCAGAGCCAUUAGAGUUCCACAGGCCGCAUCUGUCUGUCUCCGCCCUCCACGGUGCUUCUCCGGGUGAACACCUCAACCUCAGGUGUUCUUACUUCCCCUGCAGCGUGUGAGCACGCUCACACGCCCUCUCUCUCCUCAGGGAUCUCCGAGCAGGCCAGUUAGGCCUCCUUCUUCCCAUCUGGUCUCCACAGGACACCCGCUCCUCUUUCAUUUAAGAAAAAGCUUUGUUUUCUCCACUUAAUAUGACAUUGGCUGUGGGUCUGUCAUAGGUGGGUUGUAUCAAUUUGAGGUAAAGCCCUCAUUUACACCUAUUUUCAUCCGAGUAUUUUUUUUUAAUCAUGAAAGAGUGUUGGAUUUUUGUCAAGGCUUUUUCUGCAUCCUUUUAGAUGAUCAUGUGAUCUUUAUUCUUGGCUUUAUGGACUGUAUUAUAUUUAUGGAUUUAUGUGUGUUGAAUAAUCCUGUAUCCCUGGGAUGAAGCCAACUUGGUCGUCAUGUGUGAUCUUUUUAAUGAGUCGUGAAUUCAGUUUGUAAAUAUCUUUUUUUUUUUUUGGUACCGGGGAUCGAACUGAGGACCUUGCGCUUGCGAGGCAGGCAUGUCGCCACUGAGUUACAUCCCUAGCCCUCUGUAAAUAUCUGGCCCCCUUCACUACUGGGGAUCAAACUGGGGUCCUUGCGCUUGCGCAGCAGGCAGCGAAACCACUGAGUUAAAUCCCCAGCCCUCUUAUUGAGGAUUUUUGCAUCUAUGUUCAUCAAGGAUAUUGGGCUGUAGGUUCUUUUUUUGUGGAGUCCUAAUCCAAUUUUUUGGUAUCAGGGUAAUGCUGGCUUCCACAUCACCAAACUAUGUAGCCCAGGAUGGCCUCCAAUUCAUGGUGAUCCUCCUGUCUCAGCUUCCCAAGUGCUGGGAUUUGGAAGCAUUUCUUCCCUUUCAAUUACAUGGAAAAGUUUGAGGAGUACUGUCAUUCUUUAAAGUUCAGAUAAAAUUCAGUGGUAAAUCCUGAGCUUUUCUUGGUAGAAUUUUUUACUACUGCAUGUUAUGGCUUGUGUAGAUGUUCCUCCAAAGUCUCAUGUGGUCACUGGUGGGGAUUUUCAGAGGUGGCUGGAUGUAGGGUGUGUGAUGCUGGGAUUAAGGGUGUGUGAUUACUUAAUUAGUCCACUGAUUGGUUUGGUUAUAGUCAGUCCUGAGUGUAGAUAAUGAGAAGGCCAGAGGUAGGUGUGAGUGCUACCCACCCUAAGGGCAGGUAGCCUAGAUAAAAUAUAAGGGACACAAAGCUUGCUGCUUGCUUCUUCUCCAAUACUUCACUGCUUUGUUGCCUUCUGCCUGCUAUGAACUGUUUCUCCUCUGUGAUGCCUCUCUGCUUUGGAGCCUGCUGAGUAUGGACUGAAACCUCUACCAACUGUGAGCUAAAUAAACCUUUUCUCUUUUAACUUUGGGUGUCUAGUAUUUUGUCUCAGGAAUGAGAAAAAAUAAGACACCACAUCAAUUUAAUUCCUUGUUAUUGGACUGUUCUGAGUUUUUUUGGGGGCGGGGGAGUUAUCAGGGAUUGAGCUCAGGACUUUGCACCUUCGAGGCAGGCGCCAGCACCACUGAGCUAAAUCCCUGGCCCCGUUCUGGAUUUUUGUACCUUUCUGAUUCAAUUUUGUUAAGUCAUAUGUGCCUAGGAAUUUAUCUACUUUUCCUAGAUUCUCUGAUUUAUUUGAAUAUAAGUUUUCAAGAUAGUUUCUAAAUCUAGCUCUUUAAAUUUUAAGACAGGGUCUCCUAAGUUGCCCAGGCCAGACUCAAACCUUCAGUCUUCCUAGUACUAGGGUUGCCAUACCCAGACUAGACAGUUUUUUGUUUGUUUGUUUGUUUGUUUUGGUACCAGGGAUCGAACUUGGGAAGACUAGACAGUUUUAAAAGCCAACUUUUUCCAAUCACAUUAGCCGUGUGCAUUCUCUCACAUUCAUUAUUCAUUGAGCAUUUUCACUUUUUACAGUUUGUACAGAAGAAUCCUAUGCUUGAAAGAUUCUAAUAAAUUCAAACAAAAACAACCCUAGAUCCUCUCUGCCAAGGCUGCUGUGGCUUCAGAGUGCUAGGCAGGGGGCCUGGAGGGAACCAGGAAAGAGGAGCAGGACGCUGUCCUGUGGGCCCACACUGGGCUUUCCCAAGGCUGCAAACUCUGGCACCUGAAGAAAAGAAAGGACAGUAAAUGAUUAAACAGCGCUGGGGGAUGGCCUUUGAGGUGAGGAAGGCAACAUCUGCAGGGAGCUCCUCAGAGGAACCCCAGCCGGCUGCAGGCCGCAGGCAGACGGUGGCAGCACGGCCUCCAGCAGGGGCAUUGUCCACUCAGGCAUGUCCUUCUCACUCAGCCUGCUAAUGCUUCUAUGCUGGCAGAGGCCCCAGUGUUUUUUCCAUCUCUUCUCAAAACCUUAUAUAAACCAUUCACUCAUUUUCAUUGAUUCGGCUGGAUUAAUUUGAUACCUAUGUAGCAGAUACUUAUUGAGUACCUAGUCCAUGCCAGGCACUGUCAUAGAGCUCCAGAGAUACGGCAGUGGAUGAAACAGACAAAGCUGCCUGCAGUUUUGUGGUCUACUAGGAGAUACCAACAACCCACAAAAGAAAUACAUUAAAAAUUUAAUAGUGGGGGGAGCUGGGGAUUUAGCUCAGUGGUUUCUCUGCCUGCUGCGCAAGUGCAAGGACCCAAGUUUGAUCCCCGGUACCAAAAAAAAAAAUUUAGUAGUUGGGGACUGGGGAUUUAGCUCAGUGGUUCUGCUGCUUGCCUUGCAACCGCAAGGUCCCGAGUUCGAUCCCCGGUACCUAUAUAUAUAUAAAUAUAUAAAUAAAUAUAAUAGUCGGACAUGUUAAGUGCUAUGAAGAACACAGUACAGCAGAAGUGGGGAAUAAGGAGGGUCAGGAAGGAGUGCCAAAUUCUAAACAGUGUGUCAGGGAAGGCAGGGCAUCUGAAAGGGAAACUCCAAAGGAAGACUCGAAAGAAGUGAGCCCUAGGACAGUGCAUGGAGGAGCUGAGGUGUGGUCAGAUUGCAGAAAGUAGAGCCAAGAGGAUCUUCUGAUGGACUAGAGAGAAAAGAAGAGUGGAGGAGGACUCCCAGGAUUUAGGC